rnacentral:rRNA from 1 species
GGACCUGACUGCUAUCGGAUUGAUACUAAGCCAUGCGAGUCUUUGUAGUAAUACAAGGCAGACGGCUCAGUAACGCGUAGUCAAUCUACCCUAUGGACGAGGAUAACCUCGGGAAACUGAGAAUAAUACUCGAUAGAACAUUAUGCCUGGAAUGGUUUAUGUUCCAAAUGAUUUAUCGCCGUAGGAUGGGACUGCGGCCUAUCAGUUUGUUGGUGAGGUAAUGGCCCACCAAGACUAUUACAGGUACGGGCUCUGAGAGGAGUGGCCCGGAGAUGGGUACUGAGACACGGACCCAGGCCCUAUGGGGCGCAGCAGGCGAGAAAACUUUGCAAUGUGCGAAAGCACGACAAGGUUAAUCCGAGAGGUUUCUGCUAAAGAGACCUUUUGUCGGUCCUAGAAACACCGAUGAAUAAGGGGUGGGCAAGUUCUGGUCUCAAAG